UACGGGAGGCAGCAGUGGGGAAUAUUGCACAAUGGAGGAAACUCUGAUGCAGCGACGCCGCGUGAGUGACGAAGUGUUUCGGCAUGUAAAGCUCUAUCAGCAGGGAAGAAAAUGACGGUGGGCUGACUAAGAAGCCCCGGCUAACUACGU
rnacentral:rRNA from 1 species